rnacentral:rRNA from 1 species
GAUGAGCGCUAGCGGCAGGCCUAACACAUGCAAGUCGAGGGGCAGAGGAAGCUUGCUUCCUUGAGACCGGCGCACGGGUGCGUAACGCGUAUGCAAUCUACCUUUUACAGAGGGAUAGCCCAGAGAAAUUUGGAUUAAUACCUCAUAGUAUCUAGCAUUCGCAUGUUUGGUAUAUUAAAGUUCCAACGGUAAAAGAUGAGCAUGCGUCCCAUUAGUUAGGUGGUAAGGUAACGGCUUACCACGACGAGGAUGGGUAGGGGUCCUGAGAGGGAGAUCCCCCACACUGGUACUGAGACACGGACCAGACUCCUACGGGAGGCAGCAGUGAGGAAUAUUGGUCAAUGGACGCAAGUCUGAACCAGCCAUGCCGCGUGCAGGAAGACGGUCCUAUGGAUUGUAAACUGCUUUUGUACGGGAAGAAACACUCCUACGUGUAGGAGCCUGACGGUACCGUAAGAAUAAGGAUCGGCUAACUCCGUGCCAGCAGCCGCAGUAAUAC